AUCCAGCUGACGAGUCCCAAAUAAGACGAAGCGGUGUGCGUCGUGGAU
rnacentral:hammerhead_ribozyme from 1 species